CGGCCCGCGUUAGAUUAGUUAGUUGGUGGGGUAAUGGCCUACCAAGACUACGAUCUAUAGCUGGUUUGAGAGGAUGAUCAGCAACACUGGGACUGAGACACGGCCCAGACUCCUACGGGAGGCAGCAGUGGGGAAUCUUAGACAAUGGGGGCAACCCUGAUCUAGCGAUGCCGCGUGAGUGAUGAAGGCCUUAGGGUCGUAAAGCUCUUUCGCCUGUGAUGAUAAUGACAGUAGCAGGUAAAGAAACCCCGGCUAACUCCGUGCCAGCAGCCGCGGUAAUACGGAGGGGGUUAGCGUUGUUCGGAAUUACUGGGCGUAAAGCGCACGUAGGCGGAUUAGUCAGUCAGAGGUGAAAUCCCAGGGCUCAACCCUGGAACUGCCUUUGAUACUGCUAGUCUUGAGUUCGAGAGAGGUAAGUGGAAUUCCGAGUGUAGAGGUGAAUUCGUAGAUAUUCGGAGGAACACCAGUGGCGAAGGCGGCUUACUGGCUCGAUACUGACGCUGAGGUGCGA
rnacentral:rRNA from 1 species